ensembl:lncRNA
CAGAAUAAUCCCACUCCCCUCAAAACCACUCAGCUGUGGAUGCGGUCCUUUGUACUGCCAGGACUGGGAGGAAGCUGGCUGGAAGGUGGGAACCCCACCGCUAGGAGACAAGGAAACCAGGGAUUCCUGCAGACUUUUUGAGGCUGUUCCUUCUGACUGGUGCAGGGUACUGUGAAUUUUCUCCCAGUAGAUUAUGGCUGAAAGGAUUGGGCCCACUGGAAAUCCUCAAAAGCUAUCAGCUGAAACUAACCAGAAGCCAGAAGACAAGGCAACCCACAGAUGCAGCUUAUUCAUUCAGCCCUAACAGAGCAGAACAAAUAAGGCUGAAGAGUAGGUUCGGACUCACAGAGAAGACAGCUGGCACAGAAGCUGACAAGAUGUUUCCGAAUGAGCUUUGCCAGGUGUUGGCACAUUUGUGGGAUCACCAUGGAUACAAGU